AUUGAACGCUGGCGGCAUGCUUUACACAUGCAAGUCGAACGGUAACAGGCCGCAAGGUGCUGACGAGUGGCGAACGGGUGAGUAAUGCAUCGGAACGUGCCCAGUCGUGGGGGAUAACGCAGCGAAAGCUGUGCUAAUACCGCAUACGAUCUAUGGAUGAAAGCGGGGACCGUAAGGCCUCGCGCGAUUGGAGCGGCCGAUGUCAGAUUAGGUAGUUGGUGGGGUAAAGGCUCACCAAGCCAACGAUCUGUAGCUGGUCUGAGAGGACGACCAGCCACACUGGGACUGAGACACGGCCCAGACUCCUACGGGAGGCAGCAGUGGGGAAUUUUGGACAAUGGGCGCAAGCCUGAUCCAGCAAUGCCGCGUGCAGGAAGAAGGCCUUCGGGUUGGUUAAACUAGCUUUUGUUACGGUAACGGAAACGGUACG
rnacentral:rRNA from 1 species